CUACGGGUGCAGCAGUGGGGAAUAUUGGACAAUGGGGGCAACCCUGAUCCAGCAAUACCGCGUGUGUGAAGAAGGCCUUAGGGUUGUAAAGCACUUUAGUUGGGGAGGAAGGUGAGUAGUUUAAGAGAUGACUCAUUUGACUGUACCCAAAGAAUAAGCACCGGCUAACUCUGUGCCAGCAGCCGCGGGAAUACAGAGGGUGCGAGCGUUAAUCAGAAUUACUGGGCGUAAAGGGCGCGUAGGCGGUUAUAUAAGUUAGAUGUGAAAUCCCUGGGCUUAACCUAGGAACUGCAUCUAAAACUGUAUAGCUAGAGUGCAGUAGAGGGUAGUGGAAUUUCCGGUGUAGCGGUGAAAUGCGUAGAUAUCGGAAGGAACACCAGUGGCGAAGGCGGCUACCUGGACUGACACUGACGCUGAGGCGCGAAAGCGUGGGGAGCAAACAGGAUUAGAUACCCGGGUAGUC
rnacentral:rRNA from 1 species